UUUCCUACGGGGGGCAGCAGUGGGGAAUAUUGCGCAAUGGGCGAAAGCCUGAUGCAGCGACGCCGCGUGAGGGAAGAAGGUCUUCGGAUCGUAAACCUCUGUUAGUAGGGAAGAAAGGUCACUGUGGUAACCAGCCGUGAAUUGACGGUACCUGCAAAGGAAGCACCGGCUAACUCCGUGCCAGCAGCCGCGGUAAUACGGAGGGUGCGAGCGUUAAUCGGAUUUAUUGGGCGUAAAGCGAUCGCAGGCGGUAUGUUAAGU
rnacentral:rRNA from 1 species